rnacentral:rRNA from 1 species
CAGGCCUAACACAUGCAAGUCGAACGAAGGCUUCGGCCUUAGUGGCGCACGGGUGCGUAACGCGUGGGAAUCUGCCCUGGGGUUCGGGAUAACCGUUGGAAACGACGGCUAAUACCGGAUGAUAUCGAGAGAUCAAAGAUUUAUCGCCCUGGGAUGAGCCCGCGUAGGAUUAGGUAGUUGGUGUGGUAAAGGCGCACCAAGCCGACGAUCCUUAGCUGGUCUGAGAGGAUGAUCAGCCACACUGGGACUGAGACACGGCCCAGACUCCUACGGGAGGCAGCAGUGGGGAAUAUUGGACAAUGGGCGCAAGCCUGAUCCAGCAAUGCCGCGUGAGUGAUGAAGGCCUUAGGGUUGUAAAGCUCUUUUACCCGUGAUGAUAAUGACAGUAGCGGGAGAAUAAGCUCCGUGCUAACUCCGUGCCAGCAGCCGCGGUAAU